rnacentral:rRNA from 1 species
UACGAAGGGGGCUAGCGUUGCUCGGAAUCACUGGGCGUAAAGCGCACGUAGGCAGAUUGCUAAGUCAGGGGUGAAAUCCUGGAGCUCAACUCCAGAACUGCCUUUGAUACUGGCGACCUUGAGUCCGGGAGAGGUGAGUGGAACUGAUGGUGGAGCGGUGAAAUGUGUUGAUAUCAUCAGGAACUCCGGUGGCGAAAGCGGCGCGCUGGACCUUUACUGACGCUGAGGCACGAAAGCCAGGGGAGCGAACGGG